rnacentral:rRNA from 1 species
AUUGAACGCUGGCGGCAGGCUUAACACGUGCAAGUCGAGCGGGGUGAUGGUGCUUGCACUAUCACUUAGCGGCGGACGGGUGAGUAAUGCUUAGGAAUCUGCCUAUUAGUGGGGGACAACAUCUCGAAAGGGAUGCUAAUACCGCAUACGUCCUACGGGAGAAAGCAGGGGAUCACUUGUGACCUUGCGCUAAUAGAUGAGCCUAAGUCGGAUUAGCUAGUUGGUGGGGUAAAGGCCCACCAAGGCGACGAUCUGUAGCGGGUCUGAGAGGAUGAUCCGCCACACUGGGACUGAGACACGGCCCAGACUCCUACGGGAGGCAGCAGUGGGGAAUAUUGGACAAUGGGGGGAACCCUGAUCCAGCCAUGCCGCGUGUGUGAAGAAGGCCUUAUGGUUGUAAAGCACUUUAAGUUGGGAGGAAGGGCAGUAAGCUAAUACCUUGCUGUUUUGACGUUACCGACAGAAUAAGCACCGGCUAACUCUGUGCCAGCAGCCGCCGUAA